rnacentral:rRNA from 1 species
CCUACGGGUGGCAGCAGUGGGGAAUAUUGGGCAAUGGGCGCAAGCCUGACCCAGCAACGCCGCGUGAAGGAAGAAGGCUCUCGGGUUGUAAACUUCUUUUAUCAGGGACGAAGCAAGUGACGGUACCUGAUGAAUAAGCCACGUCUAACUACGUGCCAGCAGCCGCGGUAAUACGUAGGUGGCAAGCGUUAUCCGGAUUUACUGGGUGUAAAGGGAGUGUAGGCGGGAGUGCAAGUCAGAUGUGAAAAUUAUGGGCUCAACCGAUAGAGUGCAUUUGAAACUGUAAGUCUUGAGUUCUGGUGAGGCAAUCGGAAUUCGGGGUGUAGCGGUGAAAUGCGUAGAUAUAAGGAGGAACACCAGUUGCGAAGGCGGAUUGCUAAACAGCAACUGACGCUGAGGCGCGAAAGCGUGGGGAGCAAACAGGAUUAGAUACCCCAGUAGUC